UUAUUAAGAGGGGAGAUGGAUGACAAACGGUCGCGCUUUUAUCUGUGUCGUUAUCAGGCAAACUUUAUCUUCUACCUCCAGCGAACUGUGAACUCUCUUUCUGUAGAAAGUGGAGAGAGGUAUUCAAGACCUCAAAAGUUCACUCAGUUUAUGACUGAAGGAGCUCCAAAGAAAAAAUGCCUUUCCAAACGGCAACCAUAUUAUCUCCACCUCUGCAAAACCAUCAUCUCUUCUCUCUUUCUCAUUCUCCUACUCUCCUCUCACUGGGGUCUUUUAAGUGUAGUCCCUACAAGAAUUCUUCUCAGAAACUAUGAAUUGGUCUCAUCCAAAUCAAAGCAGUUCUAUUGUACUAAAGGGAACUAUAGGUUAUGCAGCAUCAGGAUAGGAGGAUUUCAGGCAAGCUGCCAAGCAACUCUAUACAGCGAAAGCCACUGUAUCUUUCCGAGCGCAUCUCUUUCCAUUUCAACUGUCAGGCAUUUAAGAAAGAAGAAAAGGGGAACAAAAGCAAUAAACACAUAUAAAGUACAAACCACUGGUUCUGUAGCUUCUUUUUGUUCUUCUGCGGCUUUUGAUCAAACAGCUGGUGGGCCACUGUUGCCUGUAAGUGAAAUAUGCAGAAAUAGUAAAGAGAAGAGCACAAGUAAGAAAAGGGUAUUUUUUUUGGAUGCCAAUCCACUUUGUUAUGCUGGAAGCACACCAAGCUUGGAAUCAUUUGGUUGCUGGAUUUCUCUUUUCUUCUCUCAAGUCAGCCUCAGUGACCCUGUUAUUGCUGUCCUUGAUGGAGAAGGGGGUAAUGAGUACCGCAGACAAUUGUUGCCUUCAUAUAAAGCACACAGGAGAAAAUUCUUAAGCCAGUUAUCAACUUUUAAAAAGUUCUCAAAGGAUCACGCCAACAGGUCUCAAGUUGUCACGGAUGUUCUUACAAAAUGCAAUGUCCCAGUUGUAAAAAUGAAAGGCCAUGAAGCAGAUGAUGUUGUGGCUACACUUGUAGGACAAGUUAUAAAAAAAGGGUACAAGGUGGUUAUUGCCUCUCCCGAUAAAGAUUUCAAGCAACUGAUUUCUGAAGAUGUCCAAAUUGUUUUGCCUAUUAUAGAGCUGAAACGAUGGUCUUUUUACACCAUAAAGCACUAUAUUGCGCAAUAUAAUUGUGAUCCUUGCUCUGAUUUGAGUCUGAGAUGUAUUAUGGGUGAUGAGGUUGAUGGUGUUCCUGGGAUACAACAUGUGGCUCCUGGGUUUGGCCGAAAGACAGCCCUAAAGCUUUUGAAAAAGCAUGGUUCAUUGGAAAAUUUACUAAAUGCAGCAGCAGUAAGAACUGUGGGCAAGCAGUACGCACAAGAUGCCCUCACUAAGCAUGCUGAUUUUCUGCGCAGGAAUUACGAGGUUCUGGCAUUGAGGAGGGAUGUUGAUGUUCAUCUUCAAGAGGAAUGGCUGGUUGACAGAGACGGAUGCAAUGAUUCCAUUAUUUUAUCUACCUUCUUCAAGGUGUUGAAAGAAAGCAAAAUGCCGUCUCCGCGAUAUAGGUCUAAUUCUUCAAAUGGUUAAGCCCCAAGGGGAGGAAGGUUAUGUAUUCUAAGAAAUAUUAUUUUCACUGGACCAGUAAAGCAUGGACAUAAAAAUGAAUUAUCACGCUUUUCAUGUUUGCAAAGGUUUAAGGUAAUUUGCUUAUGCAAAUCACUUGGCAAUCAUGUACUUAUUGUUGAAGAAAGAUGCUAAGCCACACUUUAUUUGAUGGGUGUUGCUGCUGCAAGAAUUUGACCUUGAAAUUCGAGAAGAUUAUGGAGAAUGUCAUAGCGGAUCACUUGUCAAAACUAGAAAAAGAAGAAACAAAGGAUGAAGAUGACACUUUCUCCAAAUUUCUCUCUGUUUGUGCUUCCGUUGUUGCAUGGAAAAUGUCUCAAACAAAUGGUUCUAAUGAUAAUAAAAUGGGUAUAUGAUGAUAUAGAAGAGAGACAUUUCUUUUCUUGGUGGAGCAGCUUUUGGGAGUCAGUUUGUGGGUUUGCUCUCACCUUCUAGCAACUCUUAGGAUUGGCAAUGAUGGUGUUGUUCCUUGCUUAAUAUGGAGGCAUAUAUGAUUUGAGCCUCCCUUUCUCUAAAUUUCUCCAUAUAUGCUCUGUUUGUUUUGUGGAAAAUAUUUCAAAUGAAAGCUUUGCACCUAAGAGUGUUUGAUUGAUUUCAGAACUAACCCCUAUUCAUAUCCAUAUCUAUA